rnacentral:rRNA from 1 species
AAAAACUCCGGUAGUAUAAGAUGAGCCCGCGUCUGAUUAGCUGGUUGGUGGGGUAACGGCCUACCAAGGCGACGAUCAGUAGCCGGCCUGAGAGGGUGAACGGCCACAUUGGGACUGAGACACGGCCCAAACUCCUACGGGAGGCAGCAGUGGGGAAUAUUGCACAAUGGGGGAAACCCUGAUGCAGCGACGCCGCGUGAGUGAAGAAGUAUUUCGGUAUGUAAAGCUCUAUCAGCAGGGAAGAAAAUGACGGUACCUGACUAAGAAGCCCCGGCUAACUACGUGCCAGCAGCCGCGGUAAUACGUAGGGGGCAAGCGUUAUCCGGAUUUACUGGGUGUAAAGGGAGCGUAGACGGCGCGGCAAGUCUGAAGUGAAAGGCAGGGGCUUAACCCCUGAACUGCUUUGGAAACUGCCAUGCUAGAGUGCUGGAGAGGUAAGUGGAAUUCCUAGUGUAGCGGUGAAAUGCGUAGAUAUUAGGAGGAACACCAGUGGCGAAGGCGGCUUACUGGACAGUAACUGACGUUGAGGCUCGAAAGCGUGGGGAGCAAACAGGAUUAGAUACCCUGGUAGUCCACGCCGUA